UCUCCGUUGGUGAACCAGCGGAGGGAUCAUUACAGGAUCGUAAGACUCCUAUAACCCCUGUGAACUUACUACAAAUACGUUGCUUCGGCGGGUGCCCCGGGUCUCCCGGGGCGUUCAGCCCGCCGGCAGCCUUCAAAUCCUGUUUCUUUGCGUUGGCAUCUCGAGUAUACAAAAAUAAGUUAAAACUUUCAACAACGGAUCUCUUGGUUCUG
rnacentral:misc_RNA from 1 species